rnacentral:lncRNA from 1 species
UGAGAGAUGGCAGAAACAACACUCGGGAUCCGCUGAUGAUCGACCAAUUGCUGUUGUGGUUGUUGCGGCGGGGGGGCGGGCUGCUGCUGCUGAUUAUUAUUGUUAUUAUUAUUAUUGAAUGAGUGCUGAUGCUGCAAAUGUUGCUGAAGAAGGUGAGACUGAGUCUGAGAUUGAGCCUGGUUGGUGUUUUCAUGUAUGCCUUGAAGAAAGGCCUGUUGAGGCUGAGAUUGCUGCAACAUCUGGGGCUGCAUUAUACAAGAAGACCUGCUGGCAACAUUUUGGGGUUGCUGGUAAUGCAGAAGGGGUGCAGGUGCCUGUUUGGAUGGAUCCACAGCCCUCAUCUCCUGAAGAGCAGCAGCAGCCAUAGCUUGGUACAUGUCUGUCUGCAGACCCAGCAUGGAAGCGUCAAGCCUUGGUUGCAUCCAAGGAUUAACCCCGAUUCCCUGAAAG